rnacentral:rRNA from 1 species
AUUGAACGCUGGCGGCAGGCCUAACACAUGCAAGUCGAACGGGUGGCGGACGGGUGAGUAAUGUCUGGGAAACUGCCCGAUGGAGUGGGAUAACUACUGGAAACGGUAGCUAAUACCGCAUACCAUCGGAUGUGCCCAGAUGGGAUUAGCUAGUAGGUGGGGUAACGUCUCACCUAGGCGACGAGCCCUAGCUGAUCUGGGAGGAUGAUCAGCCACACUGGAGCUGAGACACGGUCCAGACUCCUACGUGAGGCAGCAGUGGGGAAUAUUGCACAGUGGGCGCAAGCCUGAUGCAGCCAUGCCGCGUGUAUGAAGAAGGCCUUCGGGUUGUAAAGUACUUUCAGCGAGGAGGCGUUACUCGCAGAAGAAGCACCGGCUAACUACGUGCCAGCAGCCGCGGUAAUAC